AUCUCGCCUCAGUUAUUAACAUUGAUUGUGGCUGGUACCUAGACAUUUCUAUUGGUUAAAAUUUAGGGUUAGGUUAAGUCAUAUUUUGCAUUAACCAACAUACAUCAUGAAAAUGCAUCGAUUCACAAAAAAAUUAAUUAUGAUUGGUUGAAGCAGAAACUGAGCAAAACAAAGAGAAAGGAUACGAUCUUUCACGUCAAUCAAUAAUUUGUAGAUUUUUCUUGUUU
rnacentral:lncRNA from 1 species